rnacentral:tRNA from 1 species
GGAGGGGUGCCGGAGUCCGGUCGAACGGGGCGGUCUCGAAAACCGUUGUCCCAAUUUUGGGACCGGGGGUUCGAAUCCCUCCCCCUCCG